UGGGGAAUAUUGGACAAUGGGGGGAACCCUGAUCCAGCAAUGCCGCGUGUGUGAAGAAGGCCUGAGGGUUGUAAAGCACUUUCAGUGGGGAGGAAGGUUGAUUGGUUAAGAGCUGAUUGAGGUGACGUUACCCACAGAAGAAGCACCGGCUAACUCCGUGCCAGCAGCCGCGGUAAUACGGAGGGUGCGAGCGUUAAUCGGAAUUACUGGGCGUAAAGGGUGCGUAGGUGGUUUGAUAAGUUAACUGUGAAAUUCCUGGGCUUAACCUGGGCGUGUCAGUUAAGACUGUUGAGCUGGAGUAUGGGAGAGGGUAGUGGAAUUUCCGGUGUAGCGGUGAAAUGCGUAGAGAUCGGAAGGAACACCGGUGGCGAAGGCGGCUACCUGGCCUAAUACUGACACUGAGGCACGAAAGCGUGGGGAGCAAACAG
rnacentral:rRNA from 1 species